CACAGAGGCACAACCAGUACACCAUAUAAUCUUUAGUGUUUAAUGACCUUUCUUAUAUUUUUUUUACCAACACCGUCCCAGCUUUACAACUCUCCGCUGAAUGCGGCCGUCCAACGUACUAAGCAAUGUAAUCAUAGUAAUAUACUUAUCUAUAAUACUUAAAUAGUUCAUCCCCACUAACCUAUUUUUUUGACAUGCAGCCUAUCCACCUCAGCAGGCUUGCCACAUCAACAUUCUAUUACCGGCUUACGGAUGGGCCCGACCACCACAACAGCCUUGCCACAUCAGCCGUUGUUAACGCUUGACUACCGAAGAGAACGGUUCUCCCUCUACCGCGCAUGGUCUUUCCUCUCCCCGGUCCCCCCUAGCUUCUGACUUAAGCGUUGCGGCCCCUUCCAUCUCCCCAAAUCAUUCCCCCGCUCUGUUCCUCUUCUAGGCCAUAUUCUCUUCAUCUUCCUCACCAAACAAAUUACAAGUAACGGAGCCUACCACUAUCAUAGUCUUCACACACAAGAAUUAUUGCCCCUGCUCGAGAGUAUUACUCAGGUAAUCAGAUUUCGCCCUCGGAAAUUGAAGUGCCAGAGGUGAAUCAGGUAGUGAGAUUUUGCCCUGGGAAAUUUGCGUGCUGAAGGCGACGAAUUUGAAAUCCCCCGCAGUCAACGCCCGUCGUCUGCUGAUACUAUGGCCACGUCUUAACCACCACUGUUGGACAGGGUGAAUUAGGAGGCGAAAACCCGAAGCUCCAGCCGGCGCUGUGGCGCCAUCUCCAGCACAUCCACGAUCCAUGUAUCGCUUGCCUGCUGAAUCACGGGCAAGCCAGUAAUCUUAUCCGUCCUUCAACGGGCGCCGAGGAGGUUGUUCUUUCUGUAUUUAUUGACAAAUUGUCCUAUCUGAUUUCCUACUUCACAACAACGAACUAUAGAUGGUUAUGCUACAUGGAGGGAUGGAGUUCCAUAAUUCAUUUUGACACGGACAAGAUGCAUGGAACUACAUCGGGUUGUCGAGCAAUUAUUGAGAACUGUAGAUUGUUUCCCUAGCUCCGUGGGACAUCGUAGAUAAUUCAUGUCUAAAAGUUUCCUUCAAUUUUUCCAAGCGCAUGUUGGCUACCCGGCGUGCCUCGGAUUUACCAGGAGAUUUUGCAACUUUUACCCAUCAAUGAUCUUGAUGGAAAUAUCAAGAGUAGAUAUGAAGAGUCUA